rnacentral:lncRNA from 1 species
UACUAAAACUAGAGUAUAUCAUAAGUGAGGGAGGAACCAUUAUUGUUUCAAUUCAUCAACCACCUUUAACCUUUUAUUCACAAUAUAAACUAAUUAGUUUAAAAUAUCAUCAUAUCACAUCAACCUUUUUAAAUCAAUACUUAAAAAGUUUUUAACAUAUACAAUCAGAAACUAUAGGUGCUAAGUGUGUGUUCAUCACUGCCUGAAGAAAUUUGUGAGUGAUUUACCAUCCAACUCUUUCUUGAAGAAUCUGGUCAUAAAUUCAUGGAAAGUGAAGUUCCUGUAAAGGGCUGGUUUCUCGGUUGAUGUUAGCUCUGGCAAUGGUCCAAAGAGUUUCUCCCUGUCACUUGGAUUGAGGAAAACAGCAACUGAGACUCUAGCCUCAUUACAAUGAUUAGCUAACACUCGAUGAUGAGCACUCUUAUAUGCUUCGUUAGAAAUUAUCUGAAACACAAAAUAAUGAAUAUGAAAGAUCAGAAAAAGGGAUGUCAUAAAACAAUUCCUACAUAUAUAACCUGGUAGACCUUCAAAUUUAACCAAAGUUUUUCUUGAAGUUAUAAAUGGUUCAAAUAAUAUGUUUACAAAAUCAUAAAAGUCACGUUGAUGCUAAGUUAACAAAUUGAUUUCAUAACUUUGCUUCAAAAUCUUAAUUCUAAUUAAUUUAAUUCCGUUCUUUUUGUUUGUCAAAUGCAUUCUCUUCAAAAUUAAGACCACUAAUAAUCUAUUAUUUUCAUUCUAUUAAACCAACUAACCACCAACUUCACCAACUUGACCAUAACAUUUUAAAGUAAAUAUUUUAGAUAAAUAAUGAUGAAAGGAUUAAAAAUAAUGUAAUUCUCAAGUGUUUUAAGAUGUUUCAAAUUAUUGACCCACAUGAAACAUCCAUCAUCAUAAGCACAAAAAUUAAGUGAAACAAGGCUUUAUUUAAUUAAACAAUUAUUAUUAUAUAUGAACAAAAUAAAAUAAAAUAUGAACCUGAAGGAAAUCUCCAAUGUUAAUAACCAAAGCUUGAGGCUGAGGCUUCACAUGGAUCCAACCAUCUGGAGUCUCAACCUGCAAGCCCCCAAUAUGGUCCUGCAGCAACACCGUAAGAGCCCCUGGAUCAGUAUGUGAAUUGAGACCCACCGUUAGAUCAGGCUGAGGGCAAAACGGGUAAUAGUGCCCCACCAUACCUCUUCCUUCCCCCAAACCCAUCUCCCUGAACCUCUCCGCACCCAAUCCCAGCCCCUCACUCAGCAACUCAAACAACACACUCGAAACACGCACCACCUCCUUAUUCCACUCCACCACCUCUUCUCUGCACAUCUCGGGAAUCUCCCUGGGAUCAACGGCUGUGGGCCCCAUUCUUAUCUGCAAAAUCAAAAUUAAAACUCAUAUUUAUUUUAUGAUUUCAUACAAUUUAUUUAUUUUCAAUGCCGAUUAAGUUUAAAUGUUUUCCAAAAAUUUAUAUUAUUUAAAGUUAAAAAAAUAGUCUGUGUGCCUUUUUAGACAGAAAUUUUAAAUAAUAAACACCAAAUAUUAAUUAGUACUUUCGAGGCUUGUAAAAAGGUUAAAUUUUAGUUUUAGUUGUUAUUUUAUUUUUUAUACGUGAUUUCGGUAACUAAAUAUUAAAGAGACUAAAUCACAAAUAAAAAAUUAAAAAAUAAAUUGCAAUUUAGCCUAUCGAAAAUUGCAUGAAUCUAAAAUUUUGUUUUAUAAACUAUAACCUAAUUUCUCUUGUUUCAAAAAUUAAUUAUUUAAAUUAAAAUUAUUAAUUAAAUAUACAUUUAAUCUUUCCUCAACAUGAUUUAUUUUAUGAAUAAAAGAACAUAAUUAAAACUUGAACCAAGUGGUCCCAGGAACACGAGUCCUAAUGCGUCAACCGAUUUAAAUUAUUUUUAAUUACAAAUUUUGUAUUACUUAAUCUUUGGUGAAGAUUAAUGAAUACAGAAUACCAAUAUAUUAUUAACUAAUAAAAAAUAGUUUUGAUAUAAUAUUUAAGAUAAUUAUUACUAAAUAUCGUAGAUUUAUUAUUUAUGGUGAAUAGUGAUUAGAAGGCGUUUCCCGUUUUUGACGCUAUGCUGAAAGUCACCGAGAAAUUAAAAUUCUUCAUAUAUUUCAGUUUUUAGAAGUAAUAAAAAAUAUUAAUCUUACACAAAAAAAAUUAAUUCACUUUAAAUUUACAAAAAUAAAAUAAAAAUCUCUUUCAUAAUAAUUAAUUGUAUAUUAAUAUUAAUUUCAAGUAUUAAUAGAAUUAAAAUUUCGUUAGUUACUCGUAUUGUGUCACGCCAGCUGGCAGCUUUUGAUUGGAAGAGAUCCACGUUGGAAAUGUACGAUACGCCCUUCCCCAUCUCUCUACGGUACACAGGCACUCUGUCCUCCGCGGGCUGCUCGUGGAACGCCUUCACCGCCGCCAGAGUUCGCCGGAGUACCUGCUCCGGGACGCCGUGGUUGAUCACCUGGAAGAACCCCACCGUGCUCGCCGCCUGCCGAACCCGCUCCACCACGGCGGCGCGCGACCCCUGCACGGCGGCCAGGUCAACCGUGGGAAUCUCCGGCGCAGAUUCGGAUUCGAACCCGCGCUUCAGCUCCGCUAAGGUUUUGGGCGGGUGAACGAAGAUAGGGGGGAUGGCCUUGAUCCCAGAAUCGACCAAACCUUUGACUCCGACCUUGGUUUCUUCGAACUCCUUCACCGCUUUCGCGCGGUUGUACGGCGCGGCGGCGCUGACAGCGGUGGCCACCGGCGAUGACAUUGGGAAGAGGCGAGAAUAGGAAUCGUUGUUUGAGUGUAGAAAGUUCAAAUUCAGUGCAAAGUGAAUUGAAAACUAUAAAGUGCAGUUUUCUGAUUUGGCACAAAAAUUAAAUAACAAAAAUAUAUUAGUCAAGAAACUUCACUAAUUCUAGUCAUUUUUUUAUUCAACAGGUUUUUUUUCUUAUUAAAAUAUAUCAAGUAACCAUAAUUAUUUAUUAUUACAUAAAAAAUAUAUUAUUAAAAAAUAUAUAUAUAAAAAUAAAAAAUAUGAAAUGAUUAGAUCAAAAUCUUUAUAUUAAAUAAAAUAAUAUAUAAAUAAAUUAUACAUAUUUAUAAAAAAUCUUAAAUCAGAUUAAAGGUUAAUAAGAAUUUAAAUAUAUAUUUUUCUUUAAUUUAUCGAACAACACUAACCUUUAAAACAAAUAAUAUUUCAAAUGUAAUAAUUAAUUUUAAUAAUACUAUAUUUCUUCAGAAGAAUAUUCAAAUUACAGUGAUGUUAUCAGUUACCUAACACUAAAAUAAUAUAAAUUUGGCCUUAUAGGAUGUUUUUAGAAUGUUGAAUUUUUUAUAAGGUGAGAAAGAAAAUACCAAUAGAAAAAUAAUUUUUAUAAUAGAGUUUAUAUGAAAUUAAGCUAAAAGCACUUUUAUAAGUAUAUCCAUUAUGAACUUCUCGAAGUAAGAAUAUUAUUAAUAGAGUUUAAUAUUUAACAAUUUAACUAUAUCAUGUAUAACUAAUAAUAAGUUGAUUUUUUUACUUAACCUUAACCUUAUUUAUGGAGGUUGAAAGCUCUAUAAAUAUAAAUACUUAUCAAAGAAAACAUAAUAUCUUACUAGAAAAUAAAAUUGUAGUUCUGUAACGUGAGUGAUAAAAAUAUUUGAAUUCAACCAGUUAAAGAUAUUGACUUUAUAUCUAUCAAAUUUAUCGUACUUAAAUCUACUAAACUAUAAUUUCAUAAUUUAUUUAUAUAUACUAAUUCAUAGAAUAAUUUGUUCAUGUUUUUAUUAUGUAUUAAUUAAAGGUUUCAAUUUUUUUGUAUUUUAAAAUUUAAUUCUUUAAAUUUUAAUCAAUAUUAUAAUUAGUAAAUAAAAUAAUAAGUUAGUCCACUUUGUUAGAAACUAGGGAAAUAAAAGGCGUGCCUAUAUGUUUAUUUUUUUAUGAUAAUAAAAGAUAAUUAAUAUAAUUAUUGUUAUUACAAUGAAAUGUAAUUAUCCUAAAAAAGUUAACUAAUGAAUAUAAAAACAGAGAGAAUAAAUUAAUAAAAAUAGUGUAUAAAAAAUAGUCAUGAAAACUAAUUCAUAGCUAAUAUUAAAAUGACGAUCAAUGAAAAUAAGAUUUUUUUAUAGUCAAUGUAAGUCAAGAUUUUUAGCUUUAUUGACAAGGAUUAGUUUCAAAUUAAUAUUAUUAAAAUGAUUUAUCAUCAAAUCAAGUUAUAACUAUUUAUUCAUAGAUGUUUGAUAUUUAGUGGGGUUUUAUUUAGAUGUUAGCCAAAAAAACUUCUAUUGAAAUUUUUAGUAGCUAUUUUUAAUCUGCUAGAAUUAUUUUAUGAACAAUAUUUCUAAUAUUAUUUGACGAUAAUUUUUGUAUUUAAUAUUUUUUAUUAAGUAAUAAUUAAAAUACUCAAUUCAAAAAAAUAAUAAACUUGAAUUUUCUAUUUGGGUGAUAGAAUUUUGAGCAUAGAAUAAAAGAAUGUGUUAACAAGGGAAGAACGUUUUGGUGAAGGCAUGGAAAGGUUAGAGUAUAUUCAACUUUCUGAAUAUAUGACUUUUAAGCAAUUUUAUUCAAUCAAUGCUACAACAUACAUUAUUGAAUAUAUUUGAGUUGACAUGACUUUUGGACUGCUUCUUCUUCUACCAUCAUAGUUUCUUCAAAGCUUCUUCCUACCUUCAAUCUCAUAAUUCUUAAAAUAUCAAAAAUAUAUUUUAUUUUAUUAAUGUUUUUUUUUAAAUAAUAUCAAUCUCAUUCUUUAAAAUAUCAAAAAUAUGUUAUAUUUUAUUAAAAUAUUUAAUUUCUAAAUAAUAAUUUGAAAAAACUCUGAAUUAUAGAAUUUAUAAAAUAUUUUUAAAUAUCCCGGUCUGGUUACUUGUUAAGGUAUUUUUCAUGGAAGUAUAGGGAAAUUUAUUGAAACUUUCUCUGCGUUUCUUGAAGUUCAGACUGCUCUGGUUGCUGAGUUUUAUGGGGUUAUACAUGCUAUGGAGAAAACUCAAAAGAUGGGGCUUUCUAAUGUCUGACUAGAAUGUGAUUUUGCUUUGGUUUGUGUUGCGUUUAUGGUUAUGACCAAUGUUCUUUGGAUGUUUCGUAAUCGAUGAAAUACUUGUCUUAAUUACUGUGGAAAAAUCAGAUUUAGGGUUACUCAUAUUUUUCGUGAAAGGAAUGCGUGUGUUGAUAAGUUGACAAUAUAAUUUAUUCAUAGAGAAUUUUUUCAUUGGUAUAAUACAUCUAGUAUAUUCUUAGAAUUAUUUAUGAAUAUGUAUCGUUUUUGUUAAUAUAUGCGUUUUGAUCUAAUUUAUCAUAUUUUCUUUCUUUUUCUUUUUUAAUAAUAUUUUUUUCAUGUGAUGAAAAAUAAUUGUUGUUACUUAGUGUAAGCAUAACUGAUAUAUGUCUAAGUUGCAUAAUGAUUACGAAAAAAUACAUUAAACAUGAAAGGUUUUAUUUUAAAAAAAAAACUUUCAUAAUUCUAUAAACUAAAAUGUGUUUUUUUUAAAAGAAUAUUCCAAAUUAUUAAAUAUGAAAGGUAUUUUUAAAUUAAAAAAUACAUUUUAAAUUCCAUAAUCUUGAAUUUGAAUUUAUUUUAUUUAAGAAAAAAUAUAUUCUGAAUUGUAGUCCAUAACUACAAUCCAGAUAUAUAAAUUAAAAAAAAAUUCAUUCAGAAAUUAUAAAAUCUAGAAAGUAUUUUUAUAUUUGAAAAUAUAUUUUAAAUUCUAUAAUUCAUAAUAUAUUUAAAAUAAAUAUUUUUGGAUUUCUUAUAAUCCAGAGUAAAUAAGAAAAAUUACAUUCUAAAUUAUAAAAUUUAGAAAAUACAUUCCAAAAAUUUUAAAAAUAAAAUAAUUUUUUCGUCUGAAAUAUAACAAUGUUAGAAGAAGCUAUGGAGGUUUAAGAAGAAAGAGUCUCAUCACCAUGUUUCAUGAAAAUUAUUAACCCAAUAAAAGAAGAGAAAGUUAUAAAGAUGUUUUAUAUUUGACACCACACAUUAAAGAUGAAAAAUUAAAUUUCUCACUCGAAAGACAUUUAUAGUCUCUUAUUAAAAAAUUAUAAAUUAAUUUAUACAUCAAUUAAUUUAAAUUUUAAAAAAAUGUUCUCCCAAAAAUAUUUAUAGAAAAUUUUGCCUAACAAAUUUCCAAUUGUAUAGAGAUUCAUCAUUUUCAAGUACUUUUUUAAGUAUUUGAAUGUUCACUCUUACCAAAAUAUGUAAAAAGAAGUUUCAAUAUCUUCUAAAGUACAUAAGAAAAUAGUUACAACCACAUCAUUGUUUUUUCUAGAACCUUAUGAAACAUUCUAAGGCUUUCCAAAAUAUUAAAGCAUUCUACAACCUCAAUAAAGUUUCUAAUUUAUACCUUAAAUAAUUUUAAUCUAUAGAAAAGCACUUUCUUGUCUUGUAAAAAUUCUAAAAGAAGUUUUAUAAAUUAACUAGUUUGUUACCAACACUGAAACAUAUACACUUGGCUUGCAACAUGCAAUAUAGGAUCACAAUAACCAGAAGUAUGAACAAGAUGACACAAUGUUUAGUUAGAAAUCCAAUACCAAUUUAAGUCAAAAUAAGAAUGAAAAAGUUAGACAUCAUAUAAAAAAAACAAAAAUUCUUUAUGAAUAGGUAUAGUCUAUCUAUGUAUCGUUUUUGUUAACAUAUGAGUUUUGGUCUAAUUUUCCAAUCUUUUUUAAUAAUAUUUUUUUUCAUGACAAAUGAUUAUUGUCACUUGAGGUGUCAACAUAGCUGAAAUGUCAAAUUACAUAAUAAUAACUAAAAUAAAAAUUUUUAUUUAAAAAAAAAACAAAAAAAAAUCAUAAAUUCAUUUGAGUUGAAAAAUGUCUAAUAUGUGUUACUAAAACUAGAGUAUAUCAUAAGUGAGGGAGGAACCAUUAUUGUUUCAAUUCAUCAACCACCUUUAACCUUUUAUUCACAAACUAAUUAGUUUAAAAUAUCAUCAUAUCACAUCAACCUUUUUAAAUCAAUACUUAAAAUGUUUUUAACAUUGACAUAUACAACCAGAAAUUAUAGGUGCUAAGUGUGUGUUCAUCACUGCCUGAAGAAAUUUGUGAGUGAUUU